UACGAAGGGGGCUAGCGUUGCUCGGAAUUACUGGGCGUAAAGGGCGCGUAGGCGGACAGUUUAGUCAGAGGUGAAAGCCCAGGGCUCAACCUUGGAAUUGCCUUUGAUACUGGCUGUCUUGAGUUCGGGAGAGGUGAGUGGAAUGCCGAGUGUAGAGGUGAAAUUCGUAGAUAUUCGGCGGAACCCCAGUGGCGAAGGCGACUCACUGGCCAGAUACUGACGCUAGGCGCGAAAGCGUGGGGAGCAAACAGG
rnacentral:rRNA from 1 species